rnacentral:rRNA from 1 species
AUUGAACGCUGGCGGCAGGCUUAACACAUGCAAGUCGAGCGGGGUGAUGGUGCUUGCACUAUCACUUAGCGGCGGACGGGUGAGUAAUGCUUAGGAAUCUGCCUAUUAGUGGGGGACAACAUCUCGAAAGGGAUGCUAAUACCGCAUACGUCCUACGGGAGAAAGCAGGGGAUCACUUGUGACCUUGCGCUAAUAGAUGAGCCUAAGUCGGAUUAGCUAGUUGGUGGGGUAAAGGCCUACCAAGGCGACGAUCUGUAGCGGGUCUGAGAGGAUGAUCCGCUACACUGGGACUGAGACACGGCCCAGACCCCUACGGGAGGCAGCAGUGGGGAAUAUUGGACAAUGGGGGGAACCCUGAUCCAGCCAUGCCGCGUGUGUGAAGAAGGCCUUAUGGUUGUAAAGCACUUUAAGCGAGGAGGAGGCUCUUUUGGUUAAUACCCAAGAUGAGUGGACGUUACUCGCAGAAUAAGCACCGGCUAACUCUGUGCCAGCAGCCGCGGUAA